CCUACGGGUGGCAGCAGUAGGGAAUAUUGCUCAAUGGGGGAAACCCUGAAGCAGCAACGCCGCGUGGAGGAUGAAGCUUUUCGGCUCGUAAACUCCUUUUGUUAGAGAAGAUAAUGACGGUAUCUAACGAAUAAGCACCGGCUAACUCCGUGCCAGCAGCCGCGGUAAUACGGAGGGUGCAAGCGUUACUCGGAUUUACUGGGUGUAAAGAGCGCGUAGGCGGGAUAGCAAGUCAGAUGUGAAAUCCUAUGGCUUAACCAUAGAACUGCAGUUGAAACUGGGAUUCUAGAGUAUGGGAGAGGUAGGUGGAAUUCUUGGUGUAGGGGUAAAAUGCGUAGAGAUCAAGAGGAAUACUGAUUGCGAAGGCGGCCUGCUAGAACAUAACUGACGCUGAUGCGCGAAAGCGUGGGGAGCAAACAGGAUUAGAUACCCCAGUAGUC
rnacentral:rRNA from 1 species